UACGUAGGGUGCAAGCGUUGUCCGGAAUUAUUGGGCGUAAAGAGCUCGUAGGCGGUCUGUCGCGUCUGCUGUGAAAACUCGGGGCUUAACCCCGGGCCUGCAGUGGGUACGGGCAGACUAGAGUGCGGUAGGGGAGACUGGAAUUCCUGGUGUAGGCGGUGAAAUGCGCAGAUAUCAGGAGGAACACCGGUGGCGAAGGCGGGUCUCUGGGCCGUAACUGACGCUGAGGAGCGAAAGCGUGGGGAGCGAACAGG
rnacentral:rRNA from 1 species